GGGGUUUUAGCUCAGUGGCAUAAGCACCUGCCUUACAAGCAGGAAGUCCUGAGUUCAAUCCCUG
rnacentral:tRNA from 1 species